CAGCAGCCGCGGUAAUACGGAGGGUGCAAGCGUUAAUCGGAAUUACUGGGCGUAAAGCGUGCGUAGGCGGUUCGUUAAGUCUGUUGUGAAAGCCCCGGGCUCAACCUGGGAAUGGCAAUGGAUACUGGCGAGCUAGAGUGUGUCAGAGGAUGGUGGAAUUCCCGGUGUAGCGGUGAAAUGCGUAGAGAUCGGGAGGAACAUCAGUGGCGAAGGCGGCCAUCUGGGGCAACACUGACGCUGAGGCACGAAAGCGUGGGGAGCAAACAGGAUUAGAUACCCGUGUAGUCCCUGUCUCUUAUAC
rnacentral:rRNA from 1 species